rnacentral:misc_RNA from 1 species
UAGAUGUACUGGCCGAGAAGUACAUAUAGAAUACAAAGUGCAUAUAGAAUACAAACCUAUAAACUUUCCUAGAAUAUAAACAUGUACUCGUAAUUAAGACUGCUUUUCAGACUGAUCUCCUAUUAAAAUAACGUCAAUUGUUACAGUCACAAAAAAAUAUUCUUCAAUGUUACAAACAGUAAAUCUAAAUUUAAUAAGUUUUUUAGAGAGUUUAUUAUCCCUGAAAUUUAUACACACGAUUAAAGUGUUUAUAUAUCCUACAUAUUCUUUAACAACUUUGUGAAUCGUGAAUUAAAACCAACAUUUAAAUUAUUGUUAUAACUUGUUUUGAUAGUAAAAAAUCUGCUAGAUGAAUAGAGUGGAUUACUCAAGGUUACAUAAUGCAUGCAAGGCUGGAAACUUAAAUGAAGUAAAGUUACUUUUAAGUCAAACAGCAUAUCAGUUUGAAAUUAAUGCAAUAAAUGGGUUAUAUGGAUAUUCACCUCUCCAUGAAGCGGUUUUGGCUCGUAACCCAGAAAUUAUUAAAGAACUACUUAGAUUUGAUGCUAAUAUCAAUGUAAAAGCACAUGAUGGUCACACUCCUCUUCAUAUUGCUGCAUCUCGGAAUUAUUGUGAAUGCAUAAGUGUUUUACUUAGUCAUGGGGCUAAUAUCAACCAGCUUGACUCGUUCGGAAGAACUCCGUGUAGAAUAGCAGAAAUCUAUUUUUGUAACAAUGCAAGUCGUCUUUUACGUAGUGAAGAAAUUUAUAGUAUUCUUCGACAUCCAUUAUCAUCCAAAACACAAGUGUCUAGUUAUUUAAAAGAUGUAAAGUUAAAUAAUGUUGAAGAUAACUUUUUUCAAAAAUGUCUUGACAUAGUAGUUGAAAAUGACAAUUAUGCUGCUGUACAAGUUAUUUUAUCUUUGAAAAACCAAAGUAUAAAAGAAUGUUUAGAAAAAGCUUUCAGAAGACCUCAAUGUUCAAAAACUCUAUUGAUGGUGUUUUUAUUUUACAUUGUACUUAAAAAGUUUAAUGAUGUUUUAAAAUUUCUUAUUGAUCCUGGUACUACUGAUUUAAAAAAAAAAUUGGGUUCAUUAGAUAUAGAAGUUUCGGUUGAAAAAUUAAUUGAGAUGAGAUUAUUCAUUGAAGAAAUUAAAGGUGAUCUUAACUUUUAUGUAAGUCUUGCAUGCAGUGAAAAUGUUAAAAAUUAUGAGGCUGUUAAAGUCUUACUCAAAAAUUAUCAUUACGACAAAGAUUUGCAAGUAGCUAGUUGGAGCAAACUAAACUUAUCUUGUUUAAAAGCAGAAUGGUUCCAGGAGAUAACAAUUUUGAACUUGAAUUUACAUGAUAAUGCGAUAAAAAAUUUUCCAUCUAGUAUUACUAAUUAUCUAAAUAUAGUUAAAAUAUUAGACCUUAGCAAAAAUAAGCUCAAAGCUAUACCUCCUGAGUUACUUAUGCUUCCAAAACUACAGACUUUAUUAUUAUCAUCUAACCAACUUCAACAGUUACCAGAUGUAAAAAAGUGGUCUCCAGAUUUAGAAAAAUUAAGUCUAAAUGACAACAACCUUAAAAGCUUUCCAGAUAAUGUUGAUGGAUUAUUUGUUAAACAUAUAAAUAUUGCAGAUAAUCAGCUAAAAUUUAUUCCUGAAAGUAUAUGCAAAUUGAAACAUCUUUUUACUCUUGAUAUAAGUAGAAACUCAGGCAUUCAUCAGAUUCCUGCUGCUAUUGGUAAAAUGGAAACUCUUGAUAAUUUAAUUAUUCGUGGUUUAACGAUUAAAGAUCCUCCACUUGAUUAUUUAAAAAAUGUGAGUACAUCACAUAUAAAAAACUUUCUGAUUGCUCGCUCGAGGUCUUCAGUUCCUUAUUAUAUUAUGAAGCUCAUGAUUAUUGGGUUUUCAAAGCAAGGAAAAACAACUCUUCUUCAUCGACUUCAAAAUAAAACAGAAUACAAUGAAGAUAUAUGCACAACAGGUAUUGAUAUUCAAAAUAUUACCAUUACACGCCCUUCAAAACCUACAUAUAAUUUUCGUGCCUGGGAUUUUGCUGGUCAAGAAGAAUACUACAUCACACACCAAUGUUUUAUGUCUGGUUCAUCCUUAUACUUGUUGCUAUGGGAUAUUAAUGAAAAACUUAAUGGAGUCAAAAUGUUAAAGGUUUGGCUGGAAAGCCUUUUUGCGAGGUCUAUACAUUUUUCUUUGAUCAUUGUUGCAACCAAAGUUGAUCUUUUACAAGAUGAUUUGAAAUCAGUGAAAGAUGAAAUGAAAAGUGAAAUCUAUAAUCUUUUCCAAUCAACUCCAGCAUUCAAGAAAAAUCAUUAUCUCAUGGAUAAAUUUGCUUUAAUGUUUUUAUCACUUAAUCCUAAAUAUGAAAGCUAUGCAAAAGACAUGAGUGAUUUAAAAUCAAAAAUAUAUGAAGUAGCAUCAAAAAUGAAAUGUGAAAAUUCAGAUGAAAAUUUUAUGGGAAGAUUGGUUCCAGAGAGUUAUAUGAAGCUAGACUCUAAGAUUGAGGAAAAAAGAAAAACUUAUACAGAAAAUGAUAUACCUAUUCUAAAUAAGGAAGACAUACUUGAAAUUGCAAAAUCUCUAAGUUGCAAAGGAGAUGAGUUUACUGAAAGUGAUAUCGAUACGGCUGCUCUUUUUCUGCAUACCACAGGUACAAUACUUUAUUACAACACAACAUAUGGUGGUUUGAAAAACAUGUAUUUUAUAUGUCCAUCAUGGGUUUGUAAACUUAUGUCAAAACUGAUAACAGAAGAUCGUGUUCAUAAUUUUAUCACAAAUGGAAUUUUGCAAAAGUCACAUAUUCCACUUAUUUUAGAAAACAACUUGUGUGGAGAAACAUCAGUUAUUGUAAAUACGUAUUUAAGACUCUUAUCAGUAUUUCAAAUUGCUAUUGAGAUAGACGAUCAUAGAGUUUUUGUACCAUCAAAAUUGCCCUCUGAUGCUCCACUGUAUUCCGUUAAUGAUUCUGGACCAUUACUUAAGCGCUAUCAUUUUUUUCCAUGGAUUCCGUUUGGUUUUUGGCCACGUUUUACAAGUCGUUUUUUAGCGCUAAUCAAAGAAAUGCUAUUACCUCAUACAUUAGAAUACUUUGAGGAUUCUGAAGAACUAGGAUAUUUUUUUGAUAAAGAUGUUAUUAAAUGCUGGAGAAAAGGCCUUAUUUUUGAUCAUCCUAAUGUAUAUUUUUCUAUCCAAGAAAUAGAGUCUAAAAAAGAGGGCAUGGACACUAUUGAAACAUGUGUUCAACAUUCCCCUGUUGGUUAUCGAGUACUUAGUUAUAUUGUUGAUCAGAUUAGGACUGUUAUUCUUGAAUGGUUUCAAGGUGUUCUUUAUUUUGCAGAUAAAAUGCAGAUAGAAUCGUACUUUGAAUGUCCUACAUGUACCUCUCUUGGAAUAGAACCUCCUGUUUUAUUUAACAUAAAUUAUGCAUUCCAGAGGGUAUACCAAACUAUAGAAGAAAAGUCAUUCAGUAUACCGUGUGAAUAUAACCAUUCCCCAAGAGUUAUUAAUCUUGAAGAUUGUUGUCCUGAUCUUACAUUUCGGGAUUUAACAGAUGAUCUCAGGUUUCGUGGAAGUGACGUUAUUUAUGCAAAAACUGAUAAAAUUGCAGGAGGGCAUUGUGGCGAUGUUUAUCGUGGUAAUUUUAAAAAUGAAGUAGUUGCUAUAAAAUGUUACAAAUUUGCUAUGACAAAUGAAGUAAUACCAUCUCUUGAAAAAUUUUAUGAAUUUAGACAAGAGGUUUUAAUGAUAAACAAGUUAUACCAUCCUUGUAUUAUUAAAUUUAAAGGUGUGUCAUUUAAGCCAGAAUUAUGUGUUAUGCUAGAAUACGCUGAACAUGGUUCACUAGCAACUGUUAUUCAUGGAGCAAAUUCUGUGGUGAUAUCGCGUCUGGUAAGACUCAGAAUUUGCCAACAAAUUGCAAGUGCUUUAUUAUUCAUGCAUAAACAUAACAUUGUUCAUCGAGAUAUUAAAUCAGAUAACAUUUUAGUGUUUUCGCUUUCUCUCAAUGCAAAAGUUAAUAUUAAAUUAACAGAUUUUGACACAGCUUGUUAUAUGAGCUGGUGUGGUUUGAAGUCUAUUACUGGAACUAAAGGAUAUAUUGCCCCUGAAAUAAUUUCAUCCAAAUCAUAUUUGGAUAACUAUACUUUUAGUAUUGAUGUAUACUCUUUUUCAAACGUUAUGUACGAAUUAAUUACUUACAGAAGACCUUUUUAUCAAGUUCAGCAUAGUAACGAGAUUAAUAAUUAUGUAAGGAAAGGAUUGCGACCAAUAUUUUAUGAUGUACAUUAUGCUUUUUAUGGACUUAUAAAUUUAACAAAACUUAUGACAAUGAUGUGGCAUCAAGAAGCUUCUGAAAGACCUAAUACAAAAGAUAUUAUAAACCAACUGGGCUCUCCAGCAUUCCAGUUGAUUUUUGGAAUGGAGAAACUGCAAGGCUGUAGUCCAGGGGAAUUAUGCUACAUUCACACGACUGAUGAAUUGUGGGUGUCAUGUGACAAAUCUGCAAACACCAACAAUUGAAAGAAGAAGUCAGCAAGAAGAAGUCAGCAAGCUCUGCAUUUAUUUUUGUCACAGUUUUAUGAAAAUGUGUUUGCAGUUUGUUGAUUUGUCCAACCAUGUUUUUGAAUUUUGUGCUGAUCUAAAACGCUUUUAGAGAGUUUUAUUAGUAUCUUUAAAUUGGCGCUUGUCGGCAAUAACUCUCAAAUAGAAAAUAUGGCAAAUGAAGAGAAAAUUGAGAUUGAUGUCAAGAAAUUAAUACAAAACAAAUUUUAUGUUACUUCG